rnacentral:rRNA from 6 species
UCUGGUGAUGAUGGCGAAGAGGUCACACCCGUUCCCAUGCCGAACACGGAAGUUAAGCUCUUCAGCGCCGAUGGUAGUUGGGGGUUUCCCCCUGUGAGAGUAGGACAUCGCCAGGC